rnacentral:rRNA from 1 species
ACAGUGUCUGGUGGGUAGUUUGACUGGGGCGGUCUCCUCCUAAAGAGUAACGGAGGAGCACGAAGGUUGGCUAAUCCUGGUCGGACAUCAGGAGGUUAGUGCAAUGGCAUAAGCCAGCUUGACUGCGAGCGUGACGGCGCGAGCAGGUGCGAAAGCAGGUCAUAGUGAUCCGGUGGUUCUGAAUGGAAGGGCCAUCGCUCAACGGAUAAAAGGUACUCCGGGGAUAACAGGCUGAUACCGCCCAAGAGUUCAUAUCGACGGCGGUGUUUGGCACCUCGAUGUCGGCUCAUCACAUCCUGGGGCUGAAGUAGGUCCCAAGGGUAUGGCUGUUCGCCAUUUAAAGUGGUACGCGAGCUGGGUUUAGAACGUCGUGAGACAGUUCGGUCCCUAUCUGCCGUGGGCGCUGGAGAACUGAGGGGGGCUGCUCCUAGUACGAGAGGACCGGAGUGGACGCAUCACUGGUGUUCGGGUUGUCAUGCCAAUGGCACUGCCCGGUAGCUAAAUGCGGAAGAGAUAAGUGCUGAAAGCAUCUAAGCACGAAACUUGCCCCGAGAUGAGUUCUCCCUGACUCCUUGAGAGUCCUGAAGGAACGUUGAAGACGACGACGUUGAUAGGCCGGGUGUGUAAGCGCAGCGAU